GCAUGCGCAGCGCGGCCGGGCAGCCGGCGAUGGCGGCCGUGGCGGAGUUGGGGGGUGCGGGCCCAUGAGGCGGCGCAGGCCCGGGGCACGCAGCGCAGCCGGGAAGGGGGCGGCGGCGGCGCCAUGGCGGGCGUGUUCGACAUCGACCUGGACCAGCCCGAGGACGCGGGCUCGGACGAGGAGCUGGAGGAGGGGGGUCAAUUAAGUGAGAGCAUGGACCAUGGAGGAGUUGGCCAAUAUGACCUUGGCAUGGAACAUUGCGAAAAAUUUGAGAUUUCAGAAACUAGUGUAAACAGAGGUCCAGAAAAGAUCCGACCCGAGUGCUUUGAGUUACUACGCGUACUUGGCAAAGGUGGCUAUGGAAAGGUAUUUCAAGUACGAAAAGUAACUGGAGCAAAUACUGGGAAGAUUUUUGCCAUGAAAGUUCUUAAAAAGGCAAUGAUUGUAAGGAAUGCAAAAGAUACAGCUCAUACAAAAGCAGAGCGGAAUAUACUGGAGGAAGUGAAACAUCCCUUCAUUGUAGACUUAAUUUAUGCCUUUCAGACUGGUGGAAAACUCUACCUCAUCCUUGAGUAUCUCAGUGGAGGAGAACUAUUUAUGCAGUUAGAGAGAGAAGGGAUAUUUAUGGAAGACACAGCUUGCUUUUACUUGGCAGAAAUCUCAAUGGCACUGGGGCACUUGCAUCAAAAAGGAAUCAUCUAUCGUGACCUGAAGCCAGAAAAUAUCAUGCUUAAUCAUCAAGGUCAUGUAAAAUUGACUGACUUCGGAUUAUGUAAAGAAUCUAUUCACGACGGAACAGUCACACACACAUUCUGUGGAACAAUUGAAUACAUGGCCCCUGAAAUCUUGAUGAGGAGUGGGCAUAAUCGUGCUGUGGACUGGUGGAGUUUGGGGGCAUUAAUGUAUGACAUGCUGACUGGAGCACCUCCUUUCACUGGGGAGAACAGAAAGAAAACAAUUGACAAGAUUCUCAAGUGUAAACUCAACUUGCCUCCCUACCUCACACAAGAAGCCAGAGAUCUGCUUAAAAAGCUGCUAAAAAGAAAUGCUGCCUCACGUCUAGGAGCUGGUCCUGGAGAUGCUGGAGAAGUUCAGGCUCACCCGUUCUUCAGACACAUUAACUGGGAUGAGCUGUUGGCACGAAAGGUGGAACCUCCUUUUAAACCCUUAUUGCAAUCUGAAGAGGAUGUGAGCCAGUUUGAUUCAAAGUUUACACGUCAGACACCUGUUGAUAGCCCAGAUGACUCUACUCUCAGUGAAAGUGCCAACCAGGUCUUUCUGGGUUUUACGUACGUGGCUCCAUCUGUACUUGAAAGUGUAAAAGAGAAAUUUUCUUUUGAACCAAAAAUUCGAUCACCUCGCAGAUUCAUAGGUAGCCCUAGGACACCAGUCAGCCCUGUAAAGUUUUCCCCUGGGGAAUUUUGGGGAAGAGGUGCUUCUGCCAGCGCAUCAAAUACUCAGACACCUGUGGAAUAUCCAAUGGAGACAAGUGGAAUAGAACAAAUGGAUGUGACAGUCUGUGGAGAGGCCUCAGCACCACUUCCAAUCCGGCAACCAAACUCUGGGCCAUAUAAAAAACAAGCUUUUCCCAUGAUUUCCAAACGACCAGAGCACUUGCGCAUGAAUCUAUGACAACACAAUUUUUUAAGCCUUUGAAGGUGGAAAACAAAGAAUGGACAUAAGCCCUUUGAAGUUGAAAUAUGAGGGCUUGUAUGGUUUACUUUUAAAAAGUGACAGUAUCAAAGAGUCAGUCCUUGCACAGAGCGACUUGGAAAGCAAAGAAAAAUGGAUUUUUUUUUUCUGUCAAUCAAUGGUGCAUAAAAAACUUUAGAAAAUGGUAUUGCAGAACUCUAGGCACAUCAUCUAACUGAUUCGCAGUGACAUCUUCUCACCUUAUCAAGGAUUUUUCAGCUUGGUAGCUUGAAACUGACAGUAUUAAGGGUCAGGAUGUUGCUUCAGAAUCACUGGUCUAGUUGUGAAUGUGUCAAGGAGGGUUAGCCCUUUCACUAGGCAAAGUAUGAAAUGCCUAUAUGCUUGCGUCUGAGGAAUAAUUAGCAUGCAAGCUUGGUUAAGCUGUUUCCUGCAAUGGGGUGGAAUCAAAGAUGAGAGAUAAAAUUAAUUGGUAUUUCACAUUCAAAACCUGAUGAGUUUUUUUAUAUAUAUAAGAAAAAAUAUAUAUUUUUCAAAUAGAUUUUUUUGAUUCAGCUCAUUAUGGAAAGUAUCCCAAAAUUAAACUGCAAAAUAAUUGGUUGCUGCGAAGAAAGCAAAGGCUCUAGUUCUGAUUCUCCUCAUGAAACAAAAAAUCAAUAAGCAAAUUACUCAAUUACCAGCUUGGCAAUGCGGGGUGGGAAAGAACUGUUUCACUUGCUUACCCAGCUGAAAUACCUGUUCCUGCAAAGACAAAUGGAUCUAAUCAAAUCACAAUGCUGCUAUGUUCUAGGCUUAACUGGAAGCCAUGGGCUCAAAUACACGUCCUGCUUAUUUCAUCCUUGUCCUCAGCAGACAUUUCACUGGGAAACAUCACUUUUGUAUAUGCCAGUCACUUAGAUGGAGACAGCUGAAUAUACUGAGAUUCUUACCCAUAUAAAAGGUCAGGAAAAAGUGCAUCGGAACACAAGGUCAGUCGAUGUGGAUAUAUUACCACAGGAAACAUACGCAAGUUCUACAUAGCAUAAGCAAAUAAACCUUUUUGUAACCAAUGGGUAAGAACUCGAAAAUUUUUUUAAAAUAAAAUUUUGCUUAUGGGAGUUCCCUGUCAUUAUACAUUUCUAAAUUUACUAAUUUUUUUUUCUAUGCUGGGGCAAUAAAUUCGCUGAUUGUAUGAGGGAAAAAAAAAUGUUAAAUGGCCUUUCAGUGAAUGUCUUCCACAGUGGGUCAGAACUUUAGCAACUUAAUUUAGGAAACAUGUUCUAAGGACACUAUUUAUGUUUUUGAAAUUGUCAAAAUCUGUACAAAUGACUUACAGGUACAAAGAAUAAAAAUAAAGGUAACUUUACCUUACUUAAUACUUCCUGCCUUAAAGAAAGCAUUUCCAUGAACAUAGCUGGUGAAAGGGUUAAUAUCUGCAGAGCUUUACACUAGUUAGAGUGUGUAUGGUGUGUGCGUGUGUAUAUGAUCAUGCAACUGCAUACAAGUCCUGUCAUUUUUUGCCUGCCACAUGUUGCAUUAUCUUUAGUCAAACUGUGCAAAGUCUACUUCUAGCGUUUCACAACAGUAGGGAUUUUUUAUAGAUUCUGCUUAUUCUGUGUAUACUGAAUCUUUUUGAGCCAUAGGAUCCAAGCCAUAAAACUCUACACAUGCUGAAUCCAAUCAGAGUGCUGUUCUCUAAAACUUGCAAGCCAGAAGGAUUCAGUGAUAUCUUGGUGAUACUGAUGAAGAACCAACAAAAAUAUACUUAUGAUUGAGCAAAAAAUAGUACUUUUUUCUUCCUGAUAAGCCUUUUGUUGGAGAAUUUCUUUUUUUUAAGCUUUAUAAGGAACAUCAAGUUACCUUAUAGUGACAUAAAUUGUACGGGAAGGUUACCAUUUUUCAUUUGGUAAUAUGGCCACUGGUGACGUGUUGUAAAACCGAAAUCAAAGUGCUCACGUGUGUAUGUAUUAUACAUAUUUGCAAAGAGGCAACACUGCGAGCAAUGCCUGCUCCGUGCCACUUGUUAACAUGGGUUUUGUAACAUGUUUACUGACUUUAAAGCUUUUUUUUUUUUUUUUGAGGCAAAUCUCUCUUGGUCCUAGCUACAGCUAACAGUUGCUUUUUGGUUGGCUGGAUCUAGUUGUCCAGUAGAGUUGGUUUAGUAUGGCUGGCAAGAAUGGCAAGAGUUGUUUGUCUGAAUUCACUGCUUAAUUACAGAUACAGUUUUAUCAUUUUUAAAAGUAAAUUUCAUGUACUGUCAAUGUUUCAUCCCAUAGAUUCUAAGUUAAUUCCCUACCAUAACUGUGAAACUUUUGGAGUGUGACUCAGACAGCAAGCACACACUAUGCAAUAUGGUUUAUCCUGUAUUUAUUUGUAAAAAUAUCAGACAUAGAUCCUCUAUAUAUAUAUAGUAGUGUCAAAAUUACUAGUCAUGACCUAAGGGGAGUGGAGUUCUAGCUCCUGUCUGGCUAUUUCAGAUAAGUGCAGAAUGCAUUGAAUAUUGGAGAGCUUAACAAGUGCUUUCUUUUGUUCAUUUAAAAAUGUCUUAAAUUUUUCAUUAGAGUAUAGAAUCUUAUUUUUUUUAUUUUGUAUGAGCUGCGCUUUUUUAAUUAUAAUCACUGAAAAAAAUCACUAUAAUUUGAUUUUAUAGGAUUUUUGUAGCAUUACAAAAAUAUAGUAAAACUGAGGUUAAUACCUGUUUUGGCUAACCAUAUAAAAGUAUUAAAUCUUAAACUUGAACAAAAGUCAUAUUUUUUUUUACUAGAUGUUAAAUAGGGGAGUAUUUUGUUCUGCAGGUCAUUAUCACAAAAGGUUUAUAGGUCAGCUGUGUUACCAGCAGUUUUUCUUUUCCCAUUUAAUGCAGAAGCUAUUCUGGUAUAAGAUACUCAGAAUUUCAUCAUUUUUUCUCUGUGGGAGUGAUACAUACAUUUGAUGCCAUUUGUGUACUAAAUUGUAAUUUUGGGAAUGCUGGAAUAAUUCCUACCAAGACUGUCUUAAUUGUGCCAUCUGACAUUUGAAUGUCAUCCUGGUAUUAGCUCAUAAUAAAAGAUAAAAAUAAAUGAGUCAAUUGUUCUUUUGAAUAUCCCUUUUUUUUUCUUACUAUCCAAAAGCUGAACUGCUGGAGAACAUUUAAUAUGCGUCCACGCUAUAUGGUGGAUGUUUACUUUGGGUCUUAUUCUCCUUUUAAUAUUAACUCCCAAACUGCUCUCACUGUUAAUCACACUCCGUUUCCCAGUUUACAGAGAGGUAAAGGAGAAAAAAAAAGUUUUUAAGAACAAGGCAAAUUACUUCAGUAUUCUUCCUGUAGGUCCUUGAUGAUUUACUGUAUGUGGCUUCUUUGUAUGAACUUCUACAGAUUGUUCUCUUCUAGAUUAACUUGGCUUUGUAGCUGUGUUCAAGAAACAAACUUCAGCUGCCUUAGUAGGAAAAAAAAGGUAAUCUCUAUUCUGUUUUUCAUCUUGCACAAUUUACUGGAGCUAAAUAUACUGCAGAAUAAGAUGGAUGUGAAUAGCAAUUAACUGAAAAUUUAAACAUAUGCCAAUCCAAGUGACCUAUUUUUUUUAUUUUUUAGGAAGUAGGUAGGGCCUAAGUAUAACUGUCUUUCAUGACAGCUUUGAAAGAAAAAGGAGGGAGGUGGAAUUAUGCUUAGAACUUAAACGACCUGACAGAUGCUAGUUCUGCUCAGUCUGUCUUUACCAUGGGUUGGUACCUUCACCUAGUUUCUUUGGCUCUUGAAGAGAGGGUAUUGAUUGCCAUUUGUCAUCCUCUUCUCUGUUCUGUCUCCUGCAGAAUCACAUGUGCUGGGUGUUGGUGUCUGCGUGUGCAUGUGUGUGUCUGUGUGGAAAGCUGUGCAGCUACCCUAGCCUGAGUGGGCUUGAUGAGGAAGAGCUGCAUCUUAAUAGCAUGGUGCUGACAAGUGGAUCGGAGAGGAUGUCACUCAUGGAUUAUUUUCUGAAUAGCAAGGUGAGAAAAGACAAGCAGAAAAAAAAAGGAAGAUAGGUAAGUUAGAUCUAUAAUCACAAUAAAGACUAGUCAUGAAUAAGUUGGAGCAUUUGGAUUUUUGUUUUUCAUAAGACAUUAGUUUAACCAGCAAGGUAUGCCUAGCAGUGAGCUGUUACUCUAAGUACUUACAUGUAAGUUAAUACUGAAACAGUAAUGAAACUUGUUUUUUUAUUCAAUGUGCACCAAACAAAUGAUUUAAAUGCAUUUAUUCUCUGAUUUUUACGUAUACCACAAAUUGCAUAUAUAAUAUAAAAUAGAUUCUCCCCUGUAUGAAAAUCUGGUUCCUGAUGUGACAAGAAAAUAUAGUAUUAAAGAUCUGUUUUAAAAAUACCAACCUCAUAAAACGCCAAGUAAAAAACUAAUAUCAGUGAUCAAUUUAUGUAUUAAGCUUAAGAUCAAUUAGAAAUCUGCAAGAACCUAAAGGGGAAACAUCUUAUUCUUGUGUCCUAUCUCCAGGUAGAGUGAGAAAUAGUUGCUGUUUUAGGUGCAUGAAUAAGAAGUUAAUUUCUCUGAUCUGUUGAGCUAGCAUUAAAGGAUCUUUAAUGUCAAGUGUGAUGCAUAGCUUUAACUCCCACUGUAAUCCAGAGUGUAAAAUUUGCUCAUAAUCUAGGUUUUUGGUUUCAGUAAUGUUAAAAGGAUAAAUAAAAUUUAGCACAGUCUGGAACACUAUGUAAACUUUUAAAUAAAAUGUUGAACGAAGAAGCAGCUGCAAGCAGCAAUGCAGCAUUUUUUAAGGAUUUGAUUGUUUCCUGGAAGAAUCAUGAGAGAAGCAAUGCUGGCUUUUCUCCUUCCAUUCUGAAAACUUACUUUCUGUACUUAAGAAGGCAAAUUAACAUUUCCUGCACUGUUUUAAAUAUUGGGAUAUUUCAUAGAAGCAUAAAAUCCUAGAUAUCUAGAAUUCAGAAACUCGUUCCCUGUCACCUACACUUUCACCUGCAGUAAGCUGGAAGACCUUAGCUUGUACAAAUGAACCGUAAAACAAGUUUUAACAUGCUUUAGAAAAUCUGUAGAUGCAUAGAUGUAGCUCCAUCCUUCCACUUGUUAACAUGGUCUGAAAUAACAGUUCUGCAGAGUGGACACGUUUUUUCUCUAUUAAACCAUAAAGAGAUGCAUUCUUCACAAAAUGUGUGCUGUAAUGAAAAGAAUGACAACUUAGAGCUUCUAAGCUCUUCCACUUAUAAGAAGGUCUAUUAUUUGCAUUGCCUCAUUUCUAAAGAUAAUCAGAAGACAGACACUUGCUAAUCUAUGUUGUAAACCAUUUUUUAAAAACAUUUGCAAAAAUAAUUCUGAUUAUGUGUAUUACCUGACAGAUAAGCAGAAUAGGCUUCUGAAAUUCAGCUUGACAGAUAGCACAAAUAUCAUCUGAUUCAGAACACUGUCUCUUGCUAGCCAUCACCCCAUAGUGCUGUAAAACAAGAUUUUUUUUCAGCAGAUGAUAGUUUCAAAGGGGGAAAAGAAAAUGACAGAAAGGAAUUGGGAAUAAGGAUAUGUCAGGAGAUACAUGGCAGGAGAGAUGUCCAAUCCCUAAUCUAAAACCUUGCUAGAUUUUUCAACAGUUGUUUUAGGAACUAUAGCUUAUGCCGUCUCCCCUACCAUAAUGCGCAGUUAAUAUCUUCCCCUGAUAAUAGUUGUAGGAAAAAUCUGUAGCAGUUUUAAGUGACCUCCAAGCAAAACACUUGAAAUUUCAUCUUAAAUUUGAUCAAGACAGCACUUAAAAAAAUCUGAAGUGCUUUAGUAUUGUUGUAGUUCAGUGAUACUGUGCUCUAAAGUCUUCUAUAUAUUUUACUGCAUAAAUAGCAGAUACUAAAUAACUAUACCUGUUACUAUAGAGAAAGAUUAUUGAGAAACUUUUAAAACUCUAGCAGAUAUUACUUGCAUGUCAGUUAUUUUGGCAAGCUUCAUUUUUCACUGAUGUUUCUGCAUAAAGCUUUACCUAUAUCCAACCAAUAUUUAUUCCAGUUAAAAAUUAGGAAAACAAGGAUAGGUUAUUUCACAUAGUUUUAUCUGAAGAGACAUGCAAAAUAUUGAUGGUUUAGUUUUCUUUGGUUCAAGUUAGCCCAUAAUUACAUAGUCAGGAAACUCAGACGGUGAAAUGGAGGAGUAUGUGUAGAGGGAUUACUUUAAAAAUGCAUUUGUCUACUUCUAGAACUUUACAAAUUAAUAUAUGAAUGAGAUAUUUCAAAAAGAAGCCUUUUCAUUUAAAUCAGAUCUACUGUUUUGUUAUAAGAGCAUUCAAUACUCACUGGUCGUGUACAAAAUAUCCGUAAAACCUGUUUGAAGUUUCUCAAUUGUCCAAAAAAACUCAAAAGCUGAAACGGGAAGGAAAACCCGAGUUAUGUUGAAAGUCUUUCUCUGUGAGUUAAAGAAAGCUUCCAAGUUUCCAUGCAAAUCCCAAUAGCAGAAGUGUCACUGUAAUCUGAUGUUGGCAGGAACAUAAGCAAAGCAAUAGUUCAGACCAACCCUAUUUUUAGUUGCUUCAUGUGUAGCCAAACUCAGAAUUUAUCCCGAAGUUCUUUUUCACCAAUAGGUGGCUGUUCUUUGCAAGAAAAAUAUCAUUAAGGUUAUGAAAUGAAGCACUCAAUUGCAAGUAUACCGGCAUUAUUAUUAUAUACACAGUAGUCUUUAGACUUGUAAUUAAGGCACUAUAGUAUUAUAAAGUGUUUUUCAUGUUCAAAGUAGAACUUGUACUGAGAUUGGUUACACGUGGGGCAGAUGAGCUCUUUAGCAAAGUAGACAGGCAUUUUAAACACUUCUCUAACUUGUUUAGCAUCACAGGGGAAUUCUAGCAGAGAGAAUCUCCUUCCUUGGAAAAUGCUGACAUUUUUUAGCCAUAAAUUUCAUCUUUAUUUUUCAAGCUCUCUUUCUCUCAGUUUCUGAUGCCAGUCUGAUCAAUGUCUGAUUUGAGAAGGGUCCUAUAGUAACAGUGUUCUUUGAUAUACAACCCCAGUCUCCCAGAACAGGUGCAGAAAUAGACAAGAAGAUUUAGGAAAAGUGGCUCAGGGUGCUAUCAGUUUUGGAAGGUUGUAUCGGUUAAACCGAAGCAUCAACUUGCAAGUUAGUUCAAACGCUGAAAGGUUCAGAAAUGUGUUAGCUUAUAUGCCUCUACCCCUCCAGUGACAAUCACUGCAAAGUAGUUUAAGAGGACUGUAAGUCUUACGUACCUUUAGGAUGAGGUAGAGAAGGCCCAGCAAUAUCCCAAGGGUCCAGCCUAGCACACUGUCAGGCUCCCCAUAGCCAAUAAGAUAACGGAACCAAACUGGUAUAGGGACAAACAUACGGUAAUACUGGCAGAGUUCUUCUAACAGCAUGUACCAGUAGCCCUAAGCAAGACAUGCAAAAGAAUCUCUCAAGAUGUAAAAUACAAACACUUUUAAAAAUAAUAUAGAAAAGAUGUACUAGCAUUCUUUAGAGUAACUUCCCCUCAUCAGAUCUUGAAGCAAGUAUAUAUGAAGGACAGUACUGGAAGAAUGAAGACCAGAUGAUAAGUCUCACCACAACUGUACAAGCAACAAUAGCACAAUUAAUUGCUGUACUGAAGAAAAAUUUAAUAGGCUAAAAUAGGGUGGCUUUGUAGGAUACCUACCUACUAGAAUGCUAUCAAACUUGCUUUCAUAAGCAUUUAAAAAGUUACCUGAAAAAGGAAGCUAAGACACAGAUCAGCUUGUCAUUACAAGUUUUCACCAUUUAGGAUUAAAAACCAGUAAGGCCUCUCUCUUUAUUAACAAACAUAAUGAUUAGAGGAAACCCAUUUCUAAUGUAUUUCAUGCCUGUGUAAAAAGGCUUCUGUUGUGAUAAAUAACCCUUAUAUAGAACAGGGUAAUAAGAAAAAGGUGGGGACAGGAGGAGAAAGAAACAAAGUACCUGGACUGAACAGGUAAACUGAGUUCAAUAAUGCCCUAGAUGUUACUGAAUAGUAACUACAAAAGACAAGUAGCCUUCACAGAGCACUGUCCACACACAUGUAUAUACUUCUAACAAUUAAGUGUGCGUGUGUAUUUGACUAAUCAUAGAUGUUAGCUCUAAUAACAGCGGAUAAAGUACUCUUUGACUAAUUUGACAGGAAAAUGGCAAGAUCUACCAUUAUUGACCAGAUUCUUUCUUUAAUUUAGCCGGUUUAGGUCACCAUUGGUGUAAUGGAAUUUCCAAUAACAAUUUUUGGCUGUUGUAUCGGUAGUUGUAGAUACAGAGAUCUUGAUUAUAAGCUAGUAUUUCUCCAAAUCAUACAUACCUAAGAAAUACUGUUCUGGUACAUUUUAAAAGAUAAAGCCUACAAAAACACUCUGUUCCAAAGUCCUAUCGCAUGCUAACUAUAUUUGUUCUUUUUUUUUUAAACUAGUACUAGUAUGUUCUAUUUCAACAUAAAACAGAUUAUUUUUUGCAUGUCUUACCUUGGGAAGCAGAUAAAGAUACAUACCCACCAACCAAUGCAGGCUUCUAUAAAAAUCAUUAAAUUUCAUUGGUUU